ACUAGACCAUCAAAGACAUGCAGAUUUGGAUUUUCUAUUUCAUAGUUAUUGAAAUCAUAAUGAGAAUGAAGUACUGCCACUAAGGUAAAGGUGCUAACUUGCAAGGAGCUGUUUCUCAAAACAUUGGGUGACAAAGAAUUCACUUUU